rnacentral:rRNA from 1 species
CCUACGGGAGGCAGCAGUGGGGAAUUUUGGACAAUGGGCGCAAGCCUGAUCCAGCAAUGCCGCGUGCAGGAUGAAGGCCUUCGGGUUGUAAACUGCUUUUGUACGGAACGAAAAGUCUUGGGUUAAUACCCUGGGAUCAUGACGGUACCGUAAGAAUAAGCACCGGCUAACUACGUGCCAGCAGCCGUGGUAAUACGUAGGGUGCAAGCGUUAAUCGGAAUUACUGGGCGUAAAGCGUGCGCAGGCGGUUUUGUAAGACAGUGGUGAAAUCCCCGGGCUCAACCUGGGAACUGCCAUUGUGACUGCAAGGCUGGAGUGCGGCAGAGGGGGAUGGAAUUCCGCGUGUAGCAGUGAAAUGCGUAGAUAUGCGGAGGAACACCGAUGGCGAAGGCAAUCCCCUGGGCCUGCACUGACGCUCAUGCACGAAAGCGUGGGGAGCAAACAGGAUUAGAUACCCUGGUAGUCCACGCCCUAAACGAUGUCAACUGGUUGUUGGGAAUUUAUUUUCUCAGUAACGAAGCUAACGCGUGAAGUUGACCGCCUGGGGAGUACGGCCGCAAGGUUAAAACUCAAAGGAAUUGACGG